rnacentral:lncRNA from 1 species
UGAGUAAAACAAUUUUUAUAUAUACUAAAAAAUGCGGCAAUUAGUUUGUAUAGCACUCCUUAAUUUUGUUGCCAUCUCUGAUAUGUUUCUAUUGUAUUGCCAAAUUGCCUAUUUCCCACUUGACGUAGCUGAAGCGCAGUCAUAAAUCUCACCUUCGGCAGUUGCAUUUCAAUUAGGAAGUGCAUCCAAAAAACCCAGCCUAAACCCCAAUUAAACGAAAGAAAGAUUCCCUCAGUAGAUUUUGUUUCCACCAAUUGCCGCUAAACUGUUGGAAAUCCCCCGCUGCCAUAAUUAGUUAUUGAAAUGAACAGCAUUUGGAAGCACAAAAAGUCUCCACACAGAUGAAAAUCUGAGCCCCGGGGCAGCCUAUCACAGCAAACCGAUCUGAAAAUGAUGUACAAAAAACAUCCCAUGUAAUGGUUGAAAUUAUAGCAACAAUUUAGAGGGGCGGAGUCGAAUGAAACUCAACAACACUCAUAAAUGGAGCCUGGCCAGACGACUGUGGCCUCAGGCAAGAAUUUGCUUAAAAAAUCAAUUAAAUACACAGAGAAAAAAAGCAAAAAAGAGCGUUCAAGCAAAAUUAAAAUCAUCUAAAGAAUCGCACGCCAAUGGCUCAUUUGUAAUGCUCCAGAAGCGGGCGCAGGAAAAUGCCCCUGCAUCGUCCAGAGGGCAGUGUGGAGCGACGUCUAAUUACACAAAGCCUUUUGUUGUCUGCACGAGCAUUUGCUGUUGUGGUGUUGUAAUGCGACAAUUAAAAUUAUUGUACAACUUUCUGUUUUCUGCUUGCAUAAUCGCACAAUUUGUCAACAGCGAGACAGCCCUUUUUGGAUCAAGUUUAAUUGUUUUACACACUGUUUUGGUUUUUUUUUUUCAAUUAAAAUGCAAAGUUUGUGAGGGUUAAAAUGCGUCAAAGAGAAAAAUGCGUUCUAGGCUGGCGUGUUGCAAGUGUGAAAUGAAAAAUUGCACUGCCAAAGCAGUUCCAUUCAUGGAUGAGAUGCCAUUUGGGUGGAAACAAACAAUUAACAAAGGUAUUUUAAUGAGGAAUAUUAUUUUGUAUUUUUAUUUAUAUUUUUAUUAUUAUUAGUUGUGUUACAACGUAAAAGAAUUUUCACUUAAAUGUAGCAAGAAUUUAUGCCUUUGGCCAGGACUAAAAAUAAACUCUUGGAAUAAUUGUAUUCCAAGCCCAAAAUUCCAUUUUGAAGAAUAUUUCUACAAGUUCUGUUUGUUAAAGUAGCUCAAAUUUAAAACAAUAACACUAAUCGUAGCCAAAAAUGUCCGCAAAAAAUUGUAAAAUUUAGAGUGCACAAAACUCACCAAUAAAAAACCUUCCAGAAAGUUCAACGACUUCCAUCUUCUACACUAAAAAUGAUAAAGUUUUCGCUCUUCCCCCCUCAACGCCACGCCUCAUACACCCUCAUCAAUCUACCAUAUCCACACAAAUCUCUGCUCAGACAUUGAGCAUCAAUUGGCGCAUUUAAUGUGCCCAUUUCUAGCAAUUAUUAAUUAUAAUUAUCAGCUAAAAACAAGGCAAAUGCAUUUGGCACUUUAAACGUAGCAACUAAACUAAACAAAAUUAUGGCAAAUAAAUAUGGAUGUAAAAAGCAAAGAAUGCGAGAGAAAAAGAAUAGCAAAGAAAAAGAUUUGCAACAACUUUCUAUGACAUUUAAAUGGAAAAGAUGAAAUCGAGCAGUUUAUGUUGAACAAAACUAGCCAUCGGGAUUAGACCAUAAAGCAUAGUCUGCAGCGUAGCUGCCAGUAGCUCUUGAGACUUGCAACAGUGCCAGCAGCAAUGGCAGUGGCAACAUCAGCGGCCUCUGCGUGUGCGUGUCAGCGACUGUGGCUUUUCGGGCUUCAUGGUGCACUGGACCCAGGCCGGGGCCUGGACCGUCAAACCAGAACGGCCGCCUAUGAAGAAU